GAGAGUAUAGCUCAGUGGUAGAGCACAUGCUUAGCAUGCACAAGGUCCUGGGUUCAAUCCCUAGUACCUCCU
rnacentral:tRNA from 1 species